GCCAACUUAGCUCAGCUGGUAGAGCAGCGCAUUCGUAAUGCGCAGGUCCUGGGUCCGAAUCCCUGAGUUGGCUCCA
rnacentral:tRNA from 1 species